rnacentral:rRNA from 1 species
ACGCUCGACACCUACGGAGGCAGCAGUGAGGAAUAUUGGUCAAUGGACGCAAGUCUGAACCAGCCAUGCCGCGUGCAGGAUGACGGCUCUAUGAGUUGUAAACUGCUUUUGUACGAGGGUAAACGCAGAUACGUGUAUCUGUCUGAAAGUAUCGUACGAAUAAGGAUCGGCUAACUCCGUGCCNGCAGCCGCGGUAAUCUGAGCGGCUGGCAAGGC